rnacentral:rRNA from 1 species
CCUACGGGGGGCAGCAGUGGGGGAUAUUGCACAAUGGGGGGAACCCUGAUGCAGCGACGCCGCGUGGGUGAAGGAGCGUUUCGGCGCGUAAAGCCCUAUCGGCAGGGAAGAAGGAGGACGGUACCUGACUAAGAAGCCCCGGCUAACUACGUGCCAGCAGCCGCGGUAAUACGUAGGGGGCAAGCGUUAUCCGGAUUUACUGGGUGUAAGGGGGGCGCAGACGGCAGCGCAAGCCAGGGGUGAAAGCCCGGGGCCAAACCCGGGACGGCGCUUGGAACUGGGCGGCUGGAGUACAGGAGGGGCAGGCGGAAUGCCUGGUGUAGCGGUGAAAUGCGUAGAUAUCAGGAGGAACACCGGUGGCGAAGGCGGCCUGCUGGACUGCGACUGACGUUGAGGCCCGAAAGCGUGGGGAGCAAACAGGAUUAGAUACCCGUGUAGUC